rnacentral:tRNA from 1 species
GGAGGGAUGGCUCAGUGGUCAAGAGCACUGGCUGCUCUUUUAGAUGACCUGGGUUCAAUUCCUAGUACCCACA